UACGUAGGGUGCGAGCGUUGUCCGGAAUUAUUGGGCGUAAAGAGCUCGUAGGCGGUCUGUCGCGUCGGAUGUGAAACCCCGGGGCUUAACCCUGGGCCUGCAUUCGAUACGGGCAGACUAGAGUUCGGUAGGGGAGACUGGAAUUCCUGGUGUAGCGGUGAAAUGCGCAGAUAUCAGGAGGAACACCGGUGGCGAAGGCGGGUCUCUAGGCCGAUACUGACGCUGAGGAGCGAAAGCGUGGGGAGCGAACAGG
rnacentral:rRNA from 1 species